AAUAUCUCAACCACAGAGGAAACCAGAUGAGUCUACAGGACAAGCGCAUUAACAGACCUGAGAACCAAAACGAGCAGAGCUCGAGCUGAGCGCGGGAUCCGAGCAGCCUGGCGGUGGGUGAGGGGCGGUGACCCUGCCUGCCUGCAGAUACUGACGACCACGGCCUUUCGAGGCCCCACAAGUAAUGCGAACGGGAGAGCAGUGUAAGGCAUUGACACUGCCUAUCCUAUGUGCAAGACACAACUUUGUGACUGGAACCCUGGAGAGGCGUGUCUGCUUUGAUAUAACCACUGAAGAAGUGCCCUCAGCCUUUAUAUUCUAAAGCUGAGAGUAGAUCCUUCAGUGGUUCAUUGAUGCUCAAUGAGUGUAGAUAUUUACCAGCCGCGGGAAAAUCUGUCUGAUUUAAUGCAGAUGACGUCACUUCCGGUUCCAGCGCCUAGAAGAAUAUCACUUUUAGUUACGGCUGACUAAUGAAGAAACAUCACUUCCGGUCCCCUUACAUCACUUCCUGUCCUAACCCUUAAAGAAGCCAUCUUGUCAAUCCUUCUUCAGUUCUGUUUUGGACUCAAUAUAGAGAACAUCUCUGUAUUUUCAAAGUUUCUUUUGCAGCCAG